UACGUAGGGUGCAAGCGUUUGUCCGGAAUUAUUGGGCGUAAAGAGCUCGUAGGCGGUCUGUCGCGUCGGAUGUGGAAAAUCCAGGGCUUAACCCUGGGCCUGCAUUCGAUACGGGCAGACUAGAGUUCGGUAGGGGAGACUGGAAUUCCUGGUGUAGCGGUGAAAUGCGCAGAUAUCAGGAGGAACACCGGUGGCGAAGGCGGGUCUCUAGGCCGAUACUGACGCUGAGGAGCGAAAGCGUGGGGAGCGAACAGG
rnacentral:rRNA from 1 species